UCCCGGGGACCAAAGGGGGGGUCGCGGCGGGGCGAGGGGCUGGCUGAGGUUGGGUGCGGGAGGGGUCGGGGGUGGGGACGCGCGGGGGCCCACCCCCUCGCUGAGGGCCCGCGGCGGCCCCCAGCUGGCUCCCUCGGCCGCGGGGCCGGCCUCCUCCUCCGGGAGGCGCUCGGGCCGGGGGGACCCCGCAGCGGCGCGCUGUGAGCUAGGGCGCGGGGCGGGGCCUCGGAGGCUCCCGCCCACCUGAGGUGCCGCCCCCAAAAGAAGCCCGCGCGGGCUGCAGCCUGGGAACGAGCCGCGCGCCCGUGAGCUCCUCCGCAGCGGCCCGCCCGGCGAGUCGCCCGCUGGAGGACUGGCCCCACGCGGAGCAGCGGGGCCGGGUGGGUGUAGGGUGGGGGUCGCGGGGCGCAGGGCUGGGGGGCCCCGGACGCCCCGCGCGGUCAUGGCGGCGCCCGGGGACCCGCGGCGGCCCUACCGGCUGGCUCAGGAGGGCCGGCUGUGCGCCCUCCGGGAGGAGCUGCGGGGAGCCGGGCGCGCGAGCUGCCCGGGGCCCGCCGGGGACACCUUGCUGCACUGCGCCGCCCGCCACGGCCAUCGGGACGUGCUGGCCUACCUGGUGGAGUCCUGGGACAUGGACAUCGAGGCCGCCAACCGGGACUACAAGCGGCCUCUGCACGAGGCUGCCUCCAUGGGCCACCGGGACUGCGUGCGGUACCUGCUGGGCAGAGGAGCCGCGGUGGACUGCCUCAAGAAGGCCGACUGGACCCCACUGAUGAUGGCCUGCACAAGGAGGAAUCUCGAGGUGAUCCAGGACCUUGUGGAACAUGGCGCUAAUCCACUUCUCAAGAACAAAGACGGCUGGAACAGUGUCCACGUUGCCAGCCGAGAGGGGGACCCUGUGAUCCUCCAGUACUUGCUCACUGUUUGCCCAGACGCCUGGAAGACGGAGAGCAAGAUCGGGAGAACCCCCCUGCACACGGCAGCAAUGCAUGGCUGUUUAGAGGCAGUAAAGGUGCUUCUACAGAGGGGCCAGUACCAACCAGACUGCAGGGACAGCUGUGGCUCCACACCCUUCAUGGACGCGCUUCAGUGUGGCCACAUCGACGUAGCCAGGCUGCUGCUGGAAAAGCAUCAGGCCAGCGCGUCUGCCCAGGAUUCCCUGGGGGCGCAGGCCAUCCACAGGGCAGCGCUCACUGGGCAGAACGAAGCCAUCCGCUUCUUGGUCUGUGAACUCGGCACGGACGUGGACGUGAGAGCAGCAUCAGGCCACCUCACUGCACUGCACUACGCGGCGAAGGAAGGACACGUGAGCACAGUCCAGGUGCUCUUAGCCUUGGGUGCCGACAUCAACUGUAAAGACGCAAGAAAUCGAUCAGCCCUGCACCUGGCCUGCGCAGGCCAGCACGCGGCUUGCGUCGAGCUCCUCCUGCGGUCCGGGCUGAGGGACUCUCGGGACGACACGGGUGCCCUGGCUCAGCAGCUCGCGUGCGGCACGGACACCCUUCAGUGCUUCGACCACAGCGCGGCGUCCUGAGGGCAUUUCUGAGGAGGACAGCAAAAUGCAUGGUGAUUCACAUCCUGCUUGGGGAGUUCAGUGAAGUCGAGAGAGAGCACGUGUGAUACAGAGAUAGAGGAUGAGAGAGAAUCCCGAGCGGGCUCCGUGCUGAUAGCUCGGGGCUUGAUCCCUCAAACCGUGACCCGAGCCAACAUCAAGAGCUGGCCGCUGAACUGACUAAGCCACCCAGGAGCCCCUGCCUGUUUACUUUCUUCUUUCAUAGGCUUUUUCUUGGCCAUGACAUUGGUUUCACUUUGGUUUUGGAGCCAGGAAGGAGAUGCUUCCAACCUGCUUACACGGACAUUUGGGAGGAAAUAAUGAAAAUGUUUCUAUAUUCUGUGCACUGCUAGUUAAGCUAUGACAUUUUAAUCUUGAGGUUAUUUUUAUUAGAUUCUGUGUUGGCUUCUUUCGGGUAAUAAAUACACCUAAAAAAAUGUA